CGGAGGCGAUCGGUCGUUGUAGAAAUCCAGCUAUCGAAGUCCAUCCAUCGUAGACGCUCGUCUGAUAUCCAUCCGCUAUGGAAGUUCCGACGGAGUCUGAUUCUUGUAGAAGGCUGAAAGGAGAUCACUUAUUGUAGAAGUUUGGUUGAAGAUCGAUUAUCGUGGGAGCUCGGAGUAGUGACCUGGCUGGUGGGUCUUGUCCCAUUAUAGAAGAUCGAUUAUCGUGGG
rnacentral:lncRNA from 1 species